UACGGAGGGUGCAAGCGUUAUCCGGAUUCACUGGGUUUAAAGGGUGCGUAGGCGGGCAGGUAAGUCCGUGGUGAAAUCUCUGAGCUUAACUCAGAAACUGCCAUGGAUACUAUUUGUCUUGAAUGUUGUGGAGGUAAGCGGAAUAUGUCAUGUAGCGGUGAAAUGCUUAGAUAUGACAUAGAACACCAAUUGCGAAGGCAGCUUACUACACAACGAUUGACGCUGAGGCACGAAAGCGUGGGGAUCAAACAGG
rnacentral:rRNA from 1 species